CCCUGCGCUCCGCUGGGGGUGGCGCUGGAGAGCCGCAGUGGAGCGCUCCGGGAGGGCGGCCCAUUCCCUGCGCUCCUCCUGGACGCCCGGCUGGGCCCAGCGGUCUGACCACCCCCUCACUCCAUCCCAGGGGUCUUCAAAGGGGCACUGAUGGGUGGGCGGCGGCAGGGGUGGGGGAGGCUCGUUGGUACCCAGGAAGGGGCUGCCUCCUCUAGGCCUGGCCCCGAGACAUGGAACCUCCAAUUUGCGAGCACGGUAGACUGCACAUCUGAAGGCUCAGUACUCUGGCCCCAGCUGCCCUUCUGAGAGCCUCCAACCCGCGACGUCUAGGGGUGAAAAGGGACUGUCGGUCUGGUAGGGGAAGGUCUUCGGUGGGCACUGCAGGAAUCCAGUGGGAUUUGCAGGCCAGAAACCUCAGAAAGCCUUGCCUUUCACUUACCGGGGUCACCGCGCUUUAUACUUUUAAAAGCGCUUUAUACUUUUAAAGUUGCACCAGGCUCUUGCUGCAACUCCUCCAAGGAGCCAUAGGGGUUGGUUCAAGGGCCCAGUUUUAUUUUCUAGUUGAAACGCGAGAGCCUGUGGCCCAGAAGAUAGCAACGGCUCUGGGUUCUUGUAUGAGGCGGGGCAAGGUCUGGGGUCCUGGACGGGGCGUACCUCAACUCCAAGUUUGCCACUAGCACCUUACACUGAUCUCUUUAGCAUGACAUCUCUAGGUCCCCACACCCCGUUUUAAAAACACAUUCUGCAGAAUGCUCAAGGAGCUUAAGCCACAAACCAGAGACUCCUCUGCUUAAGAGAUUGUUAACAUGAGGACAAGCUCCAUUCUAAAUACUAACAAACACAGCUACUGCUGCUGCUGCUGCUGCUGUUACCUUGGAGAAACCUUGCGUUCAUCCAGGGAAACUCCUAGUUAGAAAAAGAAUUAUAGUCCUCACCAGAUUGACUUAGUGAUAAAAAUUCACAGUAAUAGAUAGAUCCCUUGAUUUUUCAAAAUGCACUUUGGAACUAUCCACACAUUUGCAGCUUGGAUACAUCUAUGCUAUUUUUUUAAAGUAAGAAUUGGAGAGUAUUCAUUAAAUUCAUCCCUUGGGGAAGAUUACUGCUAAUUAAUUAAUUGCAAACAUUUCCAGAGGGAAGGUAUGUCAAUUGUAAAGUAAUAAAAUUAGAUAGUAGAAAUACUGACUCAGCAACUUCGAUUGCCCAUUUGUUCCUAAGCAGAAUUUUUUUUAAAAAUUUUAUGACAGAAAAAUGGGGCUGGUGGUGGAGAAAAAGCAUUAGCCCUGUCCCUUGGCGAUAUGGUUGCAAAGGAGAAACUACCAUAUAGGAAUUAUUGAUUUUUAGCUGAUUUAUAAGACCUCUGUUUUAUCAAUGCUGUGUGCAGGGCCUCCAGGCCUACUUCUUGUCUUUGCUCUCUAGGAUUUGAGAAAAGCAACACAAUUUUUUAAAAAGAAAAGAGGAUGUUGAGGAACAGUGGGGAAGAAAAUUGGGAAGUAGGACUAUGAAGAUAUCUUGGCAUUUUUCUUCUUCUGGAAAGACAAGCGAACAAACAAAAGAGCAGGUUUUAUGUUAAGACACCUUUUCUAUUGUCCUCAAAGUUGCUUGAUGGUUUUUUGCAGCUUCUAUCAGAAUACUUCCCAGGGAGGAAGGCCUGCCAUGUCUCCUCCGGCUUCCCAGCCUUGCAAGACCUUGAUUUAACAUUUCCUUCCCAGGGAGAGGCUGCACCCACGAAACCUCAGGUGAGAAGAUGUCUGUUUCUUGGAAAAUCUGAUUGAGGGGAAGCUGCAGUGGAAUUUGCUUUUGUCCUCCUGACGGUUCACAGACUCCCACUUCAGCAGCCUUGGGCUUCUCCACCCCGGCAGCUUUUCAUUGCUUUGUUCAGCACUGAUUAAUUUAGUUUCGGAGAAAAAGCCCCAAUUGUAUAUGUGUACACAUAGAAUUUUAUUGAAGCAAGUAAAUAAAUCCAUCAAAUAUAGACCCUCCCAGUUAUAUUUAAGGGAGUCAUUCCACCUAAAGUAUUUUAAACAAAUGAUAGAGAUUCUUUUGUUGUACUGUGCAACAUGCCUGAUAGUUCCUCUAGCUGCUCAUUAAAACAAAUGUGAAACAAAUUAAACAAUCAAAAGCCUAUGUGUACCAGAGAGUACUAAUCCACAUUGUUUAUUUGAAGCUCUUAUUGCUUUGCUUCAAAUGCACUGAAGUUCCUGAGCAGGCGGAGUAAAGUAUGUAUGUUUCACAAUAAGCUUGCAUGCAGGUACCACAAAAAACAAACAAACAAUAAAAGAGGAAAAACAAACUGUAUUUCAUUAUUUUGGGUUAAAAAAGUCUAUGAUUUUCUAAUGAUUUAUAAAGACAGCAGAUUUUACAGGGGGAAAUAUAACAACCUGGAAAUGCCCCAAAUCAACUUCAAAUGCCUCAAAUCCCAGAUGGAAUGAGCGAGUACACGAACAUAAUAACAGAGUUGAAGAUGUGCUAAAUUAUAUUUUUUAAGUAUGGAUUUUUUAGUGACUGUUUUUGAACUGAGAAGAAUGAAAUUUCCUCAAAUCUAUGCAUGAAUGAACAAGUGCAUCUGGACAGAUGCAUCUAUAAUUUAUACUGAUCAGUCACCGCAGGUCUCAUGGAGUAAAGCCGAAAUGAACACUAAUUGUUUUGACGGAAGUAGUGUGCAUGGCAUCUGAUUGUGAAAUGCAGUGAGUCCCUGCCUUGCCUGAAUACAUAUUGUCAACAGCAACUCUGGCAUCAGGAGGGGAAAAUAAAAAGACAAUAAUUCCCAGAUGAGAGUGUUGAAGCCUCUUGUCAAAAAGGUGCCAAAUAGAAAGAAAGAAUUAACUUCUUCGGGAUAAAGUAAAAAAUAAGACUGAAUGAAGAGGUCUUGGUUUGACAGCAUUGUACUUCAGUUUAGAGUUAAAAUUAAUAAAGUGUGUUAAUAAUAGUAAAAUUCUGUAGCAUUUGUUGAGUGCUUGGGAGCUUUCCUAAACACCUCUGCUUUAUCUUAUUUAAGGCUCAUGAUAAGGAUAUUGGAGAGGUGAGAAGCAAGUCUAAG
rnacentral:lncRNA from 10 species